rnacentral:rRNA from 1 species
ACGGCGUAGUAAUGGAUCGGAACGUACCCUUCGGACGGGGAUAGCUACGGGAAACUGUAGGUAAUACCCGAUAACAUCUGCGGAUCAAUGGUGAGAUUCCGCCGGAGGAGCGGCUGAUUUGAUAUUAGCUAGUUGGUGGGGUAAAGGCCUACCAAGGCGAUGAUGUCUAGGGGGUGUGAGAGCAUGGCCCCCACGACCGGAACUGAGAUACUGUCCGGACACCUACGGGUGGCUGCAGUCGAGAAUCUUCCGCAAUGGACGAAAGUCUGACGGAGCGACGCCGCGUGCGGGAUGAAGGCCCUUGGGUUGUAAACCGCUGUCAGAGGGGAUGAAAUCUUCGGAGGUACUCCUCCGAAGUUGACAGAGCCUCAAAGGAAGCACGGGCUAAGUACGUGCCAGCAGCCGCGGUAACACGUACUGUGCGAACGUUAUUCGGAAUCACUGGGCUUAAAGGGUGCGUAGGCUGCGAUGCAAGUCAGGUGUGAAAUGCCGGAGCUCAACUGCGGCAUUGCGCUUGAAACUGUGUUGCUUGAGUAUUUCAGGGGUGUGGGGAACUGCCAGUGGAGCGGUGAAAUGUGUUGA